UACGAAGGGGGCUAGCGUUGCUCGGAAUCACUGGGCGUAAAGCGCACGUAGGCGGAUCGUUAAGUCGGGGGUGAAAUCCUGGAGCUCAACUCCAGAACUGCCUUCGAUACUGGCGAUCUUGAGUCCGGAAGAGGUGAGUGGAACUCCUAGUGUAGAGGUGGAAUUCGUAGAUAUUAGGAAGAACACCAGUGGCGAAGGCGGCUCACUGGUCCGGUACUGACGCUGAGGUGACGAAAGCGUGGGGGAGCAAACAGG
rnacentral:rRNA from 1 species